UCUUCUGUUUUUUAGAUUUAGUUUAAUUAGGUUUAGUAUUAUUUAGUUUAGGUUUUGUUUAGUUUAGUUAGUUUACUUUACGUUUAGUUCAGGUCAAAUUUCUGGUUUAGUUUAGGUUUAGUUUAGUUAGUUUAGUUUAGGUUUAGUUUAGUUAGUUUAGUUUAGGUUUAGUUUAGUUAGUUUAGUUUAGUUUACUUUAGGUUAAGUUUUUGGUUUAUUUUGAACAUGUGAAAUUUGUUGUUAUUUUUUUAGUUCAAGCAUUUAUUCCCGCUUCGACGUCGAUGAUGCCUAUCCCGCAUCCUCGUCGUCGACUCGGCGGAGGAGGCCUGCUUGAUCAGAGGGGCCAUGUCC
rnacentral:lncRNA from 1 species